AGAACAGCCAGGCCCAUCCACAACAAAUACGAGUAAGGAGACAGCCAAAGGAAGAAGCCUAAUUCCGUGCAUCAGCUUUGAGAUGCCACCAACUUUAGCACCUGGACUGUGCAACAAACCAGGAUCCCACGUGAUCACUCGAGAAGACGAACAGCUCUCUCUUCGAAUAAUUAAAAUGCAAGUUGCAUCCAAAUCAAAACUUUUUCGCGUUCGGCAUCUACAGCAGCGGUUCUCAACCUUCCUAAGACCAUGAGCCAUCAAUAUAUAAUCAUGUGGUGGUGGUACCCCCACCACCACCACCAUAAAACUGGUUUUGUUGCUACUA